UACGUAGGUCCCGAGCGUUGUCCGGAUUUAUUGGGCGUAAAGCGAGCGCAGGUGGUUUAAUAAGUCUGAUGUAAAAGGCAGUGGCUCAACCAUAGUUCGCUUUGGAAACUGUCAAACUUGAGUGCAGUAGAGGAGAGUGGAAUUCCAUGUGUAGCGGUGAAAUGCGUAGAUAUAUGGAGGAACACCGGUGGCGAAAGCGGCUCUCUGGACUGUAACUGACACUGAGGCUCGAAAGCGUGGGUAGCAAACAGG
rnacentral:rRNA from 1 species